rnacentral:misc_RNA from 1 species
GAAUACAAAAGGAUUUGAGUCUCUUUGAAAUCUGUUUGUUCUUUCAUGCAUCUUUGGAGCUCGCUGAAGUUUUCGGAAUUUACAGUGUGGUGGUGGAAGUUCUGAUCGAGUCCGGACUCGUCUCAGUUUGCUGCUCCGAAAGAGGUAAAAAUGACUUUAGUUUUUCUUUGUUAUUUUAUGAUUAAGAGUUUUAUGAGUUUUGCGAUUGAAGCAAUGAACUGCUAUUCCAA